UUGGAGGGCAAGUCUGGUGCCAGCAGCCGCGGUAAUUCCAGCUCCAAUAGCGUAUAUUAAAGUUGUUGCAGUUAAAAAGCUCGUAGUUGAAUUUCGGGGUUAGUAGGUUGGUCAUGCCUCUGGUAUGUACUGGUCUCACUGAUUCCUCCUUCCUGAUGAACCGUAAUGCCAUUAAUUUGGUGUUGCGGGGAAUUUGGACUGUUACUUUGAAAAAAUUAGAGUGUUUAAAGCAAGCUAACGCUUGAAUACAUUAGCAUGGAAUAAUGAAAUAGGACGUUCGAUCCUAUUUUGUUGGUUUCUAGGAUUGACGUAAUGAUUAAUAGGGAUAGUUGGGGGCAUUAGUAUUCAAUUGUCAGAGGUGAAAUUCUUGGAUUUAUUGAAGACUAACUACUGCGAAAGCAUUUGCCAAGGAUGUUUUCAUUAAUCAAGAACGAAAGUUAGGGGAUCGAAGGCGAUCAGAUACCGUCGUAGUCUUAACCAUAAACUAUGCCGACUAGGGAUCGGAUGAUGUUAAUUUUUUAAUGACUCAUUCGGCGCCUUACGGGAAAC
rnacentral:rRNA from 2 species